rnacentral:rRNA from 1 species
CUAAUACCGGAUAUUCACUUCCUUCCGCAUGGAGGGUGGUGGAAAGAUUUAUCGGUGGGGGAUGGACUCGCGGCCUAUCAGCUUGUUGGUGGGGUAAUGGCCUACCAAGGCGACGACGGGUAGCCGGCCUGAGAGGGUGACCGGCCACACUGGGACUGAGACACGGCCCAGACUCCUACGGGAGGCAGCAGUGGGGAAUAUUGCACAAUGGGCGAAAGCCUGAUGCAGCGACGCCGCGUGAGGGAUGACGGCCUUCGGGUUGUAAACCUCUUUCAGUAGGGAAGAAGCGAAAGUGACGGUACCUGCAGAAGAAGCGCCGGCUAACUACGUGCCAGCAGCCGCGGUAAUACGUAGGGCGCAAGCGUUAUCCGGAAUUAUUGGGCGUAAAGAGCUCGUAGGCGGUUUGUCGCGUCUGCCGUGAAAGUCCGGGGCUCAACCCCGGAUCUGCGGNGGGUACGGGCAGACUAGAGUGAUGUAGGGGAGACUGGAAUU